UGAGAACCCAAGGAAAUGUCCAUGUUCCAGUCAAUGAUAUGGAAUCCGUGACAGUACCACCCCCUGAAGCUCUGCACCAGCAGCGGGACGACACCGGCCUCUGGGAUGACCACAGGGACGCAGUGCGGGUCGAUCAAGGCAAUGACGGUGAAAAUCCCUGGUCAGCAAAGCGUCCAGGAUGUCCACCGCAGGAUCCCAACGCCGCCCUUCUGGGCCAUACUCCUCCCAGUUGAUGAGGUACUGGAGAAGCCCCAUCCAACACCCCAAAUCCAGGACUUCAGGACCGAGUACGACGGACCUCCCUCGAUGUCUAGAGGAGGAGGCAGGGCAUCACUGGGUCCAGCCUCAGCGAGGGGACCAGGCACCACUGGCCUGAUGAGAGACACAUGAAUAGUUGGGUUAAUGCGAUAAUCAGCAGGGAGUUGCAAAUGGUACAUUAAUUUAUUAACCCUCCUCAUGACUUUAAACGGCCCCACAAACCGCGUGCUCAGCACCCGGCAGGGCAGGUGGAGGGGCAGGUUCUGGGUGGAGAGCACGGCCCGCUGGAGACGAUUGUGUGCAGCGUUCCAGAUCUCCUCAGCGCACCGAAAACACUCGUCCACCGCAGGGGCCUCGGCCUGGCUCGGAUGCCAAGUUGCCAGGGCCGGCUGAUACACCUUUCCAGUGCGUGUUGGGGUGAGGUUAGUGGAGGAGUGGCGAAGGGAAUUCUGCCCACGGUAGAAAAUCCACCCACUCCCCCGGACGGGCCUGACAGUAACACCUCAGGAACCUGCCCACUUCCUGAUUGACCCUCUCCGCCUGCCCAUUUGCUUGAGGAUGGUACCCGGAGGUGAGACUGACCAUGACCCCCCAGGCGUUCCAUGAACGCUUUCCAUACGCGUGAGGUGAAAUGAGGGCCACGAUCUGACACAAUGUCCUCCGGGAUCCCGUAGUGCCAGAAGACAUGCAUAAAAAGAGCCUCCGCGGUUUGCAUGGCCGACGGGAGCCCAUUCAGAGGAAGGAGGCAACAUUAUGAGAUACUCUCAAAUCUGCAGCUAAAAUCCUAAUUGGAAGCUUUUGGAGAUACUCGUAAUGCCCCGUGGUCGUGGAAAAGACCGUUUUCCAUUCGUCGCUUGCACGAAUGCGCACCAGAUUGUAGGCACUCCUCAAGUCCAGUUUCGUGAAGUACUGCGCCCCGUGCUUUUGUUCGAUGAUGGUUGGGAUGAGGGGUAAAGGAUAGCUGAACAUAAUGGUGGCUUUUUUCAGUUGUUCGAUAAUCAAUGCAGGGGUGCAGUCCCCCAUCUUUCUUCUUAACAGUCUCCUCUCGGACCAGGAAAUAACAGGGUUAUGCCAACUCAACCAGGGGAGACCUAAAACAACGGGGUGCGUGGGGGUGUCUAUAAUCAAAAAGGUGAUCUGUUCUAAAUGAUUGUCAUGGGUCAGCAGAGAAACGGGAACAGUGAUGUGAUGUACAAGCCCUGUCCCUAUUGGACGAAUAUCCAGGGCUUGAACCGGAAUGGGUGACUAAGGGAACCAAAGGAAUGCGUAAUGCAAAGGCCGGUGAGCUAUCUAAAAGAUUCCCGGCAGCUCCGGAAUCAAUCAGAGCUAAUGGGAGUGAGGGGCUAGGAUAUUCAGGGAAUCUAAUGGGAAAACACACUGGUUGAGUUGACAGAAAAGGAGAGGAGAUCUUGCAUCCUCCCUGGGUUGGAGCAGGGCAAUUCCCUGGCUUGUCACCUCCUCGCCUAUUAGUGGAUAGAGGGCAGGUCGGGGAGAAAUUACCCCUUUCUCCACAGUAGAAGCAGAGGCCCAGAUUCCUCCUUCUCCUAAGCGCUGCCUCGGGUAACAGUGCAGAGCACACCUCCAUCGGCUCUGGCCACAGAGCAGGUGUAGCCAUGGGCUCCGGAUUCCACGCAGGUUGUCGGGACCACAGGAGGUUGUCCAACCGGAUCGCCAUGCUGAUCAGCUGGUCGAGUGACAGGUUAUCAUCACGGCAGGCUCACUCCAUCUGUACCUCCUCCCGCAGUCCGCUGCAUAAAACGGUGAUCAAAGUCAACUCGUUCCAUCCGGUGGAGGCCGCGACGGUCCGGAACUCCAGGGCGAACUCCGAGGGGGUCCUAGAUCCCAGGUGUAGUCUGAGUAGGCACUCACCCCCCUCUAGGCCCUCCACAGGUUGAUCAAACACCGAGCGGAAGAGGAGGGUGAAGUGCUCUUAGGACUCGACCUCGGGUCCACCCGUUUCCAGCUGUCUCCAUUUGAUGGGUUGAUUAUUCUGUCCCGUUGUAUAAUGAUAGGAGACAGGUGCAGGAAUACAAACGUUUUUUGUAUUUCACUACCCAAAAUGGUGUAUGUCAUGAACAUGACGGGGAUGAAGCCCAAAACAAACCCAUAUACAGUGCCUUGCGAAAGUAUUCGGCCCCCUUGAACUUUGCGACCUUUUGCC
ensembl:lncRNA